rnacentral:rRNA from 1 species
GAUUAGAGUUUGAUCAUGGCUCAGGAUGAACGCUAGCGGCAGGCUUAAUACAUGCAAGUCGAACGGGAUUCGAGGUAGCAAUACUUUGAUGAGAGUGGCGCACGGGUGCGUAACGCGUAUGCAACCUACCUUUAACAGGUGAAUAGCCCCGAGAAAUCGGGAUUAAUACACCGUAACAUUGCGCUGUGGCAUCACAGUGCAAUUAAAGAUUUAUCGGUUAAAGAUGGGCAUGCGUGACAUUAGCUAGUUGGUGAGGUAACGGCUCACCAAGGCAACGAUGUCUAGGGGUCCUGAGAGGGUUAUCCCCCACACUGGUACUGAGACACGGACCAGACUCCUACGGGAGGCAGCAGUAAGGAAUAUUGGUCAAUGGGCGCAAGCCUGAACCAGCCAUGCCGCGUGCAGGAAGACGGCCCUAUGGGUUGUAAACUGCUUUUGUCAGGGAAUAAACCUUUGUACGUGUACAGAGCUGAAGGUACCGAAGAAUAGCAUCG